rnacentral:lncRNA from 1 species
UCUUUAUAAGAACCACUCUCUUCCAGUGGUGUGCAUCACUUGGACUUUACAAGAGCUAAGAUUUGGGAACCUCACUGAGUGAAUCAGAUGAGCGUGAUGCGAAGAGCCAAGAAAUGGAGAAUCAAAAUAUCUUGGGACAGCAAGGUUUUCAAUUGAGAUCACUACCCUAAUACGCAACGAGCUGCACAGAAGAGGAACAUUGCUAGAAUUCACAUCCUAGCUGCAGAAAAGCAUCCUGUGAAGCAGUCACUAUGCAGGAGAUUGCAAGUAAGGAAAUCUGAAUUUGAAUGGCAACUGUCUCCCCCAUGGUAAGUUUGCAAAGUCCCACUGAAUUUUAGUAAGGUUGUAUAAGUUUGUGCUGGUUAAGGAACUGAUGGCUUAAAGUUUACU